rnacentral:rRNA from 1 species
UACGUAGGGUGCAAGCGUUGUCCGGAAUUAUUGGGCGUAAAGAGCUCGUAGGCGGUCUGUCGCGUCUGCUGUGAAAACUCAGGGCUUAACCCUGAGCUUGCAGUGGGUACGGGCAGACUAGAGUGCGGUAGGGGAGACUGGAAUUCCUGGUGUAGCGGUGAAAUGCGUAGAUAUCGGGAGGAACGCCAGUGGCGAAGGCGACUACCUGGCCUGUUCUUGACGCUGAGGCGCGAAAGCUAGGGGAGCAAACGGGG